rnacentral:rRNA from 1 species
GUAGGUGGCAAGCGCUGUCCGGAAUUAUUGGGCGUAAAGCGCGCGCAGGUGGUUCUUUAAGUCUGAUGUGAAAGCCCCCGGCUCAACCGGGGAGGGUCAUUGGAAACUGGGGAACUUGAGUGCAGGAGAGGAAAGUGGAAUUCCACGUGUAGCGGUGAAAUGCGUAGAUAUGUGGAGGAACACCAGUGGCGAAGGCGACUUUCUGGCCUGUAACUGACACUGAGGCGCGAAAGCGUGGGGAGCAAACAGGGAUUAGAUACCCUGGUAGUCCACGCCGUAAACGAUGAGUGCUAAGUGUUGGGGGGGUUUCCCGCCCCUCAGUGCUGCAGCUAACGCAUUAAGCACUCCGCCUGGGGAGUACGGUCGCAAGACUG